rnacentral:rRNA from 1 species
UACGAAGGGUGCAAGCGUUACUCGGAAUCACUGGGCGUAAAGCGUGCGUAGGCGGUUCGUUAAGUCUGCUGUGAAAGCCCUGGGCUCAACCUGGGAACUGCAGUGGAUACUGGCGGACUAGAGUGUGAUAGAGGAUGGUGGAAUUCCCGGUGUAGCGGUGAAAUGCGUAGAGAUCGGGAGAACACCAGUGGCGAAGGCGGAC